AGCAAUAAAAUCUGUCUCUUUGC
rnacentral:siRNA from 1 species